UCCCUUGUAGCUCAGUCAGUAAAGAAUCUGCCUGCAAUGCAGGAGUCCCGGGUUUGAUCCCUGGAUUGGGAA
rnacentral:tRNA from 1 species